CAGGCCUAACACAUGCAAGUCGAGCGGCAGCGGGAAGUAGCUUGCUACUUUGCCGGCGAGCGGCGAACGGAUGAGUAACGCGUGGGAAUCUACCCAUUUGUGGGGGAUAACUUGGGGAAACUCAAGCUAAUACCGCAUAAUCCCUACGGGGGAAAGCAGGGGAUCUUCGGACCUUGCGCAGAUGGAUGAGCCCGCGUCGGAUUAGCUAGUUGGUAGGGUAAGGGCCUACCAAGGCGACGAUCCGUAACUGGUCUGAGAGGAUGACCAGUCACAUCGGGACUGAGACACGGCCCGAACUCCUACGGGAGGCAGCAGUGGGGAAUCUUGGACAAUGGGGGCAACCCUGAUCCAGCCAUGCCGCGUGUGUGAAGAAGGCCCUAGGGUUGUAAAGCACUUUCAGUAGGGAGGAAGGCUUCGGGUUAAUACCCUGGAGUACUUGACGUUACCUACAGAAGAAGCACCGGCUAAUUUCGUGCCAGCAGCCGCGGUAAUACGAAAGGUGCGAGCGUUAAUCGGAAUUACUGGGCGUAAAGCGCGCGUAGGCGGUUAGUUAAGUCGGAUGUGAAAGCCCAGGGCUCAACCUUGGAACUGCAUCCGAUACUGGCUAGCUAGAGUGCAGUAGAGGGAGGUGGAAUUUCCGGUGUAGCGG
rnacentral:rRNA from 1 species